UUGCAGGGAUGAUAACCAUUUUUUUCUCCAGAUAACUAUGAUGGUAGAAAAACGAGCUUUUUAAAUCUGAGCAAG